rnacentral:rRNA from 1 species
GACGAACCGUGCGAACGUUGUUCGGAAUCACUGGGCUUAAAGGGCGCGUAGGCGGGUUCGCAAGUCUGUGGUGAAAGCCCCCGGCUUAACCGGGGAAGGGCCGUGGAUACUGCGAAUCUUGAGGAGGGUAGGGGCAUCUGGAACGGUCGGUGGAGCGGUGAAAUGCGUUGAUAUCGACCGGAACUCCGGUGGCGAAGGCGAGGUGCUGGACCCUUUCUGACGCUGAGGCGCGAAAGCCAGGGGAGCAAACGGG